AGAUUUUUGCUUGCUCUUCUCUGAGGGUCCUCAGCUGAUUUUACCAGCCUGUCUGCAAUCUGCUAUAAUGAGCCAAAGACCAGCACAGGCUUCCCUGGAAGCAAAGGUAGUUCACCUCAGAAGCCCUCAAGGAUCCUACGGAGGCAAAAGACCCUGAUCUGGUCAGUUCAGACCACUGUGGAGCAGAGAAACUGGUGUCCUUCCUGGAGCACCGCCUGCAUCUCCUUGAACUGAGCCAACUGGCAGGCCUCAUGCAGCCCCAGCCAGCGAUAGGCCUGGUGCUCGUGGGAGAGACAGACCUCCACGUCGUAGUCCUUUACCUCCGCCAGCCAGUAGAUGACGGUUUUAGGCUUCUCCCUGGCCACAUAAUUGAGCUCCCUUCUGAAUCCCUCAAUGAUGGUCAGCUGGUCUGCUUCUAUGCCUGCUUCCUCCUGAGCCUCCCGAAGGGCUGUUUCCAAGUCACUUUCUCCUGGUUCCACAUGGCCUGGUUAGGAGAAAAGAAGAGGAGGUGGAUAUAAUCUUCAACAAAGCUGGAUUUUCCAGGUCAGAUGAUUUAAAGCUGGGGUCUCUGGCGACUUUUCUAGGUGUUGCUAAGCUUUGGCAAUAUUCUAACAUGCCUAGGGAUGGGGUACAGGGCAGGCAGUGUCUGGCUCUGUGGUGUCUGGGCAAUCCCUCUUCCCCACCCCAUCUUCUCUACAGAGAGUGAAACAAAACAUGUAUUUGGCAAGUCUGGUCUAGAAUACUGCCCUUCGAUGGUGAGAGAGACAGCCUCCCUCAGAUCUCUACUUUAUUUUUCUUUGGAGUUCUCUUCAUCCCAUAUUCUCAGGGAGACCCUUCCCUGGGACACCUUAACGUGAUUUUCCCAAAGAGGGGCAGUCCUUUCUUGCCAGGUGGGAGCUGGCUGAAGAGGGAGCACUUCACCUACAAUGCAGUGAAGACUUAACACUGUCUGCAGUUGGUCUCUGAAGUCCCAGGGCCAACGGUCUGUCUCCGAACCCUGCACCGAGGCACCGGCAGCAGCUGUUUCCAAGUAGCUAUCAAGGCUCUUCCAAAUUGUUUUCAUCUUUCUAACUGAGCAAGGCCAGUUUCCAGUUUCAUAGGGAAAGUCCUGAUGGGAACGUAGACUAAGGACAAGCUGAGAGCCAGUUCUAAGAAAAUUUGUUGGCAAGGCCCAAACCCAAUCAGACAACUGCCAAGAAACUGUUGUAAGAGAACUUGAAGCUCUGCAGACUGCGAGCAGCCCUCAGCUUUGCCUCAAGCCCUCCCUGCAAGUUCUCAGCUUGCCCAGGGGGUGCCAAGAAGGCCUGAGAGGGGUCUGGCAGCCUCGGUCAACACAUGGCUCCAGCAAGUUGCUGGGGGCCUCCUGGUUCAGGAGCUCAUAGAGAGCAGGAAUUCUUAGCUGUUCUCUUCUUAGUUCAAAGACAGGGCUACAUCCUAGCCUCCUCCUUCCCAGCGGUCCUCAGAGCACUGCCCUGAGUCAGCUGCUGCUGCACAGCUCCCACAGAAAGCAGCCAGGAGCUUGGACUUAAAAGCCCAUUUUCAUUCACAGCUGCUAGCGAAUUUUCUCUGUAUAGCACCUCAUAUAGCCACGGACACAAAGACAGGUAGGUGAUGCACCAGGGGAGGAAGGUGGGAGGGAUGCUGGUGGUGAGACAGGUGACGCUGAUCCAGGAUGCCCGACCUUCCCUCAGAACUGUGUGGGAGUCUCUGAGCACACCCUGCCCAGCAGCAUCUAUUCAGCACUCUGCCCAUCGGUGUUAACAGGGUAACUUCUCCCCCAGGCCCAAGCAGGGAAAAAUUCAGAGAGGUCCUUUGAAAUCUUUCAGCGAGAGGGACCGUGCAGUGUGACUCUGGUGAUCAGGAGGCAAGUGUGAAUAUUCCUAUUCAUAGUAUCUGUGACACUUCUCUUUUUUUUCACCUUGUUUCUCCUCAGUGAAACUUGAAUGUGGAAAUUUUAUUUCCUAUUCCCACUUCCUUGUUUUCUUCCAACCUUGGAGUCUUGUUCACCCCUCCCCGACCCCACUUGCUCCCUUCUGUCUGGGGGCUGUUCACUAUGGGCUCCUGACCUGUAGCCCAAUAAUAACUUGACCCCAAGGUCCUCAAUUCCCAGCCCAGUGCCUCUUCCCCUACCCAGCCGUUCACCACAGAGGCUCUGGUGACUGAUGCAAGAAAACCAGGUGUUAUGACUUCCCUGGCAGUCCAGUGGUUAAGACGCCGUGCUUUCACUGCAGGGGGCACGGGUUCAAUCCCUGGUCGGGAACUAAGAUCCCACAUGCUGCAUGGCGCGGAGAAGAGGAAAAAAAAAAGGAAAGAAAACCAGGUCUUGCUUCUGCCCUGGAAUUCAGCCACAGAGUUCUAUUUCCAGUUCUUCUCUGGCCUGGCAUGGAGACUUUGUAUGUAGAAAGGAUCAAGAGCUCUUGCCCACCCCACCCCCUCCUGCUACACAAUCACUGGGAAGCAAGCCUAGCAGGGUGCCUGGCAGGGUGGAUUUCUGCAUAGUGCUUGGCAUUUCCCCAAAGCCCGCCCCUCUGGCCUCACACCUUUGGGAGGAGUCCAGUGAUGAAUGCCAUCUGAUGCCUGCAGCAGUAGAAACUCAAUUGCAGUGUUGUCCAUCUUGGGAAUGAGACAUCUUCGGAAGAUGAUCAAGCCACAUGCUCUCAGGGCCAUGGUCUAUCUGAAGGCGUAACAAAAAAGAUGUUCAAAGUUACACAAAACGGGAAGAUCCAUACUGGCGGGCAGCACUCUGGUGCUGCGGAGUAGCACAGACCAGCUAACAGUGACCUCAUCACCUAUAGACAGAGGCAGCAUGCUGAGAACCAAUGGGGGGAAACCAGGUGUCAGAGACAGGCCUUUGUGUGGUCAGCUGGUCUGCUGAGACAGGCCUUUGUGUGUAACUGCAGGACCUUGGUCCCUACCUGUUAGUGUAGCUCUAUCCCAAUUCCUCUAGGUCUCCCAGCUAAAACAGGGCUGGCAUGUGUAUGUAGAGACUGGAGAUCCUCAGAAGCAACCCCACUGAAACUGGAGAGGUACGGGGAAUGGGAGAGAUGCAGUACAAUACUAUCAUCAAAUUCACAAUCCCAUUUCCCUCAGCCUCCAACCUGAGUCUCUGGAGCAAAGAGACCCCAACAAUGUGGUUUCUGAUGGCUCAGAGGGGUCGCUUAGAAAGGGUAGCUUAGUGUACUAAAAAUUUAUUAUUAAUUUUUUUUCAAUCUUUUAUCCAUUUUGGAAUGUUAUACAUUCACAUGGUUCAAAACUCAAAAUAUAAAGGGGAACACAUGGUAGAAAGUCUCUUUCCUACCCCAUCAGAAGUGAACUGGCAGAGCAGUCAAGAGUGUGAACCUGGAGCCUGGGUUCAAGUUCUGGCUCUGCCACUUAUUCACUGUGUGAUUAGCUCCUAAGCCUGUUUCCACAGCUGUAAGACAGGAUAGUAAUAGCUCUACUCUAAAGAGCUGCUAUGAGGAUUACAUGACUUAACUUUUGUAAAGUGCUUUAGAACAGUGCUUGGAAUGUAAUCUCAAUACAUUUCAUUAUGCACAGAAAAAUGUCUGAAGGAUACACAUCAUUAAUCCUGUUUUCUGGGGGGAUGAGAUUAUGGGGAGACUUCCAUUUUCUGCUCCAUAUAUAUCUGUAUUAUUUGAAAUUUUACAGAGAACAUUUAUUAUUUUUAUAAUCAGAAAGACAGUGAAGACAGACUUUUUUAGUCUUUUCCAUUUAGCCUUUUUUCCAUUUCAGAAAAAAAUGUCAACAACAACAAAAGACAGGAAGGGAGUAGGAAUAUCUGCAGAAGUGAAAAAAGAAUUCAUCAUCUGAAGGAGGACAUGUAAUCAAAGUAACAAAAAAUAUGGAAGAUCCUUUAUGUGAAGCCCUGCAAAAGAAAAACCUGUACCAUUUGUUCACUCGACAAAUAUUUGUUGAGUACCUACUAUGUACCAAGUACUGUGCUUGGCCUUUGCCCUCACAAGAAUAUAGAAUAUAGUUUAUAUUCUAGUGGAAGAGGCAGACUUUAAUCAAAUAGUUAAGCAAAUUUAAAAAUAAUUGCCAAUAAGGUAUGUGCUCCAAAGGGGAAAUGUGUGAUUGGUAACUUAACCCUGACUGAGGGAUCAAGGAAUGCUUCCUGGAAGAAGGGAUGUUUGAGCAGAGGAGUAAAGGAUGAGUAGAAGGUAAGCUGUCAAAGGGAAAGAGGAGAGAAUAUGUGUUCCAGGUAGAGGGAACAGCAUGGGCAAAGGUUCUGAGGUGAGACAGCAGAACUGAAAGAAAACCAGGUGUCUCAAAUGCAGCGGAGGCCUGAGAGAGUGGCCCAGGCAGGGAGAGGCCCGAGUCGGAGGGUCUCAUCUCCAAGAUUCCACGGCCAAAGAAGGAGCUGGUGCUCAUAGGUGGCAGAGCUGAUGCUAAAAGUGUGGCGGGAGUAGACGCUGAUGGUCUCCAUGGCCCCCUUGUUGGUGCUCAAUCAAGAUGAGCUUGCAUUUGUCAAAGGCAUAAAAAUCAGACCCAAAUCACAACCUGUUCCAGGGCAGUUCUCAGGGCUACCAACAGAUGGUAAUGUUACUCUAGAGAACAGUGGUUCCUUACUCAAAAAACCAAGCACACCCAACACUGUGACCUUUCCAAACCUUUCUAUACCUGUAAUGAGAGUUUUUAAGGAUUGGAAAUAAUCUCAAAAUGGGUUUUUGAAAUGGUCUGUGCUCUCAUUUACUGGUGGUGGGAGAUUAAAUUAGCAUAUCCCCUUAGGAGGACAAUUUGGUAAUAAUUACCAUAACAUAAAAUGCACAUUCCCUUAGACCCAGGAAUUCCAAUUCUAGGCAUACUGACAUAUACAAAUACAUGUUUAAGAUGUACACACACACACACACAAAAGAAAAAAAGGGCAGAAACAAAUAUCCAUCAAUAUGGGAAUGGUUAAAUAAGUACAGUAUUUCAUCUAUAUGAUGGAAGAUUAUGAGGCCUUUAAAAAAGUGAGGUAGAGUCAAAUGUGCUGCUUGUAAAAAGAUUUUCAGUGGAAAAAGAAUGGCUCAUAACUAUGUAAAGUAUGGUUCUUUUUGAGUUUAAAAUUCAUAUGUAAACUGGUAUCAGGCUUUUACUAAAUAUGGUGUUCUGUUUCCCUGGUCUCCCCAUUUAUGCUGAGAACGUUCCUUACUCUGGAAGCCAGAAGGAACGCUGUCACCAAAGAACUCGUGAAGCAAGAUUUCAAAUGACUGGUUCCAGGUUUAGGCUGAAACAGGGAAGAGCCAGACUAUGAGCUGUCUCCUGGGACCCAGCACAGCAGCUCUCAACAGAUGUUCAUUGACUCAACAGAACUGUCUCCCCACCUCCCACUCAAACAAAUGUUCAGGGUACGUUCUGGGACUUUGGGAAAUAGCCCAGUGUUUUCCUGAGGAGUGCCAUUUACAUAAAAGUCAAUGGAGC